rnacentral:rRNA from 1 species
UACGUAGGGGGCAAGCGUUGUCCGGAAUCAUUGGGCGUAAAGAGCGUGUAGGUGGCUUGGUAAGUCCGCUGUGAAAGUCCAGGGCUCAACCCUGGAAAGCCGGUGGAAACUGUCGAGCUCGAGUCCGGAAGAGGCGAGUGGAAUUCCUGGUGUAGCGGUGAAAUGCGCAGAUAUCAGGAGGAACACCAAUGGCGAAGGCAGCUCGCUGGGACGGUACUGACACUGAGACGCGAAAGCGUGGGGAGCAAACAGG